rnacentral:rRNA from 1 species
AAUCAACGCUGGCGGCGUGCCUCAGACAUGCAAGUCGAACGCGAAAGAGGGCUUCGGCCCUUGAGUAGAGUGGCGCACGGGUGAGUAACACGUGGGUAAUUUACCUUUGGGUGGGGAAUAACAGUCGGAAACGGCUGCUAAUACCGCAUAAUGCAGCGGCUCCACAUGGAGACAGUUGUUAAAGCGGGGGAGCGAGCAAUCGCCCUCGCGCCUGAAGAGAAGCCCGCGGCAGAUUAGCUAGUUGGUGAGGUAAUGGCUCACCAAGGCUUCGAUCUGUAGCCGGCCUGAGAGGGCGGUCGGCCACACUGACACUGAAUAACGGGUCAGACUCCUACGGUAGGCAGCAGUCGGGAAUUUUGGGCAAUGGGCGCAAGCCUGACCCAGCAACGCCGCGUGAAGGAUGAAAUC